UACAGAGGGUGCGAGCGUUGUCCGGAAUCACUGGGCGUAAAGGGCGCGUAGGCGGCUUGAUAAGCGUGCGGUGAAAGCCCGGGGCUCAACCCCGGGUCGGCCGUGCGAACUGUCGAGCUGGAGCACUGUAGAGGCAGGUGGAAUUCCGGGUGUAGCGGUGGAAUGCGUAGAGAUCCGGAAGAACACCGGUGGUGCAGACGGCUCUCUGGACCGUAACUGACGCUGAGGCACCAAAGCGUGGGUAGCAAACAGG
rnacentral:rRNA from 1 species